rnacentral:tRNA from 1 species
AGGGGCUUAGGAUCAAGUACUAAACCAAGAGCCUUCAAAGCUCUAAAUGAGGGUGAGACCCCCUCAGCCUCUG